CACAAAGGUUUCAAGUGACAGGAACAAUAUUAAUUCUUCUCUUCCGCUGGUGGAUGCAGGCAGUUAACAGCAGUGCCCUGAGAUGUUAAAACCUACAAAUCUACCAGCAACCUAGAAAGCAGAAACUGCACACAAGCUUCUAUGGAACCCAAUACAAAAUCCUUUACUUCUAUCUGAUAUUGAGGUGAGUGUUUCACAUGGAUUGCCUAAAAUUUGGUUCUUGCUGGCAUAACUGUCUCUCACUGGGUAAUUACCAACAGUUAAAUUACUGGAGGAAUCUCUUUCAACAUAUCUAACUGUAGCAGAUUCUCCACCAGGCUGGGAAGCAAAAAAGGCCCUCUAAUUUACAAAGAAUAACCCCAUUCAUGCCUCUCCUAAACUCACUCACUUUGUUACAGAACUAGCAGCAAACUGAAAUUCUAGACAUCAGCCUAAAAUAAGCAAUUGGUUCCAGAAAAACUGGAAUGUAUUUAAUGGAAAAACUGAGAUCUUUAAAAAGACAACCUUGUAGUGUGACCUUGAAAACUAUCAACCUUUUGGACUAUGCUGAGAAAGUUUAAGAAGCUAAGAAACCGGCGUCACUCACCUCAUUCUGGCCAGUUUAGAACUCCCUCUCCGGCACGCCAGCAUUUUCUCAUGGGAAGAGGGACUGUAAGGACCGCCUUGCCUACAUCUGCAUCCUCUCCAGCCUGCACAGAGUAACGUCUGGUGAAAGCAUGGAUGGAGGACCACGCUAUUGCUCUGCCGGUGUCCAUAACAGGGACAUGGGUCACAAAUGCUGCUGGGGUCAAUAGCACUCUGUUGGAGCAUGUCAUGAGUCUGUCAAGCAGUAUUACCCCUGGGGCAGCGGAAGGCAUGGUAAUGCAGCUCAUGAUCCAUUUUGAGAGGCUGAGUGGUGACUGGAUGAGCCCUGGUACAUUGUGUGUACAGGGUAAACAGCUGGGACAAAACUCGAAAGGCCUGAGUCCUAUUGAGGUAAAAAGCUAAUGGCUCAACUGAUGUUGAGGGGUGGAGUUUUCACUCAUCCCUAUGUAAAAGCAGUUGCGGGAAGAUCACUGGCAGGUAAAUUGAUUCGGAUGGAAGUUAGAAACCACUUUCAGAAGGAACUUGGAGAUGUGAUCUCAGCUGCACCUGAGCCUUGUUGAAAACCACGUAUAGUGGUGGAGGAAAGGCUGCCUUUGCUGCAGGAGUAACAUGUAUGAGCCAAUGGGUCAAUGACAGGAUUGGCCAUGCAGAGCUGCUGCAGAAUGAAGCUUUCUAACAAAAAGGUCAAGUCUCUUGGUGGUUUUGUCCUCAGGGGUAGCCUUAGCUCUCCCGUCUACUCUUCUCAUUCACUGUAGCUAUCACUAACGACCCAGGUGUCAGGUGUAAACAAACUUCUCAAGCCCUUGAGAUAGAACCUGAUAGUUUUUGUUCUAUUCUCUUAACAACCAGUGGAAUGGAGGAAAGACUUUGCCAGAUGGUUUUGGCUGGCUGCAUAAUGGUCUCAUUCACAGGCAGCGUCACCACCCUGACAUGGUGGGAUGGAGAAUGUCAAUGAGUUUGGGGAUAUUCUCUUCCACUUGCUCCAUGCGCAUAGCCAAGGAGGCUGCUCUUCGCCUGUGGAACUCCAGGUGGGGACGGUUCAGAAGGUCUAGAGCCCUGGUCCUGGUGAUGGAGAUCUCUGCUUUGCUGGGAAGGCUGAGGGAGCCCUUCGGGGAGGCAUUGCUGAGGAACUGCCCUUCAACGGCCAAGGGGUUCGAACACCAGCCUCUGGGCCGCCUCCAGGCACCUCCCUCAGCUCCUUUGUCCUGGUCUCGAAGCAACAACAAAUGGAACACUCACCCCCAAAGUGACCCUCACCCAGGCCCCGAGACAGCGCAAAUGAGGAUCACCGACGGCUUUCUGCAGCCCACAAAUGGCUUGAACCCUGGGGCCCUGUUAAGUGAAAAAAACAAAACAAGACCAAAAUAA